GGGGGGGUGCAUAGCUCAGUGCCUAUGCGCGCUGCUUGCAAUCACAAGGUCACAAGUUCGACCCCCACCCCCUAGGUCCUUCCAGCCUUAAAUGGGAAUUCAGUGUUCGUUCCACUGUCUUAUCGAAUUGUGAAAAGUAUUAAAAAUAACCAGGCUCAGACCUGAAGAAAAAAAAAC
ensembl:ncRNA Y40A1A.6 ncRNA